AAGCGUUGAAGCGUUGUGUCGUGCCAGUAAGCGGUGCGCGUGGAGCUUUAUCAUGGUUGGAUGGUUCCCAAAAACUGGCGAUGAAAACAUCACUU
rnacentral:ncRNA from 1 species